AUUCUACCCAUGUGGGGAAGGAUGAGAAGCUUCGACUAAGGUUCGAUUCGAGCGCAGCGAGAAAGCGUUGCCAACGGCAACGACCCGAAGGGCGAAGCGCGCAGCGCUGAGUAAUCCUUCCCCCACCACCA
rnacentral:sRNA from 7 species